rnacentral:misc_RNA from 1 species
UUUUUGAUUGUGGUAGUAUAAAAUUAAAGUUUAUUUAUUUUGAAAAUGAUGAAUGAUAUGUUAAAUGAAAAUAAAAUGGUAUUAUUAAGUUGUAUUUAGUUGUUAAUAGUUAGAAUUGAAGAAAGGUGUUAAGGAAGAGAAGAGGGUGAGGAAAGAGAGGGAUGAUAUUUUGUUUUAUAGUAUUUUAAAGUGUUAAAAAAAAA